rnacentral:lncRNA from 1 species
CAUGUUCCAGCCGUUCUCCUGUCCGAAGGGUCUUCCAGAUCAAAUUUGCUCCGUUUGCAAACCGGAAGAUGAUUUUCCUAAUGGCUGUAACUACAUUGCUCAUAUUCUGGCUGCACAGACUUGCUCCUGUAUAGCUGCAGUGCAUCUGGGAGGAGAUUAAGGUGUUGAGGUCCAAAAGAAGUUAAAGAAUUAGUCUAUGUGGGAACAGAACCCAAAUCUCCUGAUGCCCACCUGGAGCUUUAGUCACAAGACCAGAACAUCUGACAUCUCAAGGUCAAGCAGGCAGGCCCUUUUAGAGUUUGAUACCGUGACACAGCACUGGAGAAGCUCUUUAUCAGUGUCAAAUUAUGACAAACGACAUUGGGGGAAAGUCACAGGGCUGCAGAACAUUGUCGCAGCUGCAACACCUUGGAAAUUAUACAGCAUUCUGCCGUAUCUCACAGAGGAAUAUCUGUAGCUGUCAACUGGCACAUUCUUCUGUUGCUAGACUGCUGUGCUGUGUCUUCUAAUAAAGUUGCCCUCUGUUCCA